rnacentral:tRNA from 1 species
UUAAAAAUAAGCUAAAAUAAGCUUUUGGGCUCAUACCCCAAAUAUAAAGAAUAAAUCUUUUUUUUAAA